rnacentral:rRNA from 1 species
AUUGAACGCUGGCGGCAGGCCUAACACAUGCAAGUCGAGCGGAUGAAGGGAGCUUGCUCCUGGAUUCAGCGGCGGACGGGUGAGUAAUGCCUAGGAAUCUGCCUGGUAGUGGGGGAUAACGUCCGGAAACGGGCGCUAAUACCGCAUACGUCCUGAGGGAGAAAGUGGGGGAUCUUCGGACCUCACGCUAUCAGAUGAGCCUAGGUCGGAUUAGCUAGUUGGUGGGGUAAAGGCCUACCAAGGCGACGAUCCGUAACUGGUCUGAGAGGAUGAUCAGUCACACUGGAACUGAGACACGGUCCAGACUCCUACGGGAGGCAGCAGUGGGGAAUAUUGGACAAUGGGCGAAAGCCUGAUCCAGCCAUGCCGCGUGGGUGAAGAAGGUCUUCGGAUUGUAAAGCACUUUAAGUUGGGAGGAAGGGCAGUAAGUUAAGACCUGGCUGUUUUGACGUUACCAACAGAAUAAGCACCGGCUAACUUCGU